GAGUCAGGUGGGCCUGUAGGAAAACAGUCCAUGCCCCAAACUAUGGGCAAAGGAAGUCCAGAGGAAGAAAGGACAGAAAAGGGCAGGAAAACUGAAACGCUGGGUCUGGGGCUGUGCACCUGUCAAGUAAUCACUCAGAAGGCAAAGCUAGAAGGAACUCAGCUUCCACAGCAGCUAACGCCAUAGACAGAGAGCCUUUCUCAAAGAGUAACUGAGAAAGUUGUGGCUUUCUACAGUGGUCUUCAAAUGCUGCAAAAAGAAGUUUCUCGGAUCAGCAGUGAGAGCAACACUGUCUGUGGAUAUAAAGGCUUCUUUGCUGUCUCCCUGGAACCUAGAAACUAUGCCAAGCCCAUACAGGCAGGAAGCCUCAGCCUCCAUGGGCCUGGAUGCAGAACUGCAGCUGCAGGCCUGACCACUGUGCUUCAAAACCACUUCCCUUCUCUGUGCCCGACCUUCAUCUUCAUGAGGGGAUGGAGACCUCUGCAGGCCACUGCGGAGAUGCCUGGAGACACCUAGACAUGCUUCUUAAAUAUUAGCCACGAGCUAAGUGUAUGAAGA